AUGGCGGUGGUUGCGUGGCUUCAGCUGUUUCCUGUCAUUCUUCUGGGGACUCAGUCGUUCCCAUUGUCGCUUUUUGCUGCAGGACCCGCAUCCGUGUCUGCUGCCGACCGAUCCAAAUGGCACAUCCCUAUACCGUCGGGAAAAAAUUAUUUUAGUUUUGGAAAGAUCCUCUUCAGAAAUACCACUAUCUUCUUGAAAUUUGAUGGAGAACCUUGUGAUCAGUCUUUGAAUAUAACCUGGUUUCUGAAAAGUGCUGACUGUUACAAUGAAAUCUACAACUUCAAGGCAGAAGAAGUAGAGACAUAUUUGGAAAAACUUAAGGAAAAAAGAGACUUGUCUGGAAAAUACCAAACAUCAUCAAAAUUGUUCCAAAACUGCAGUGAACUCUUUAAAACACAGAGCUUUUCUGGGGAGUCUGUGCACCGGCUGCCUCUUUUAGGAGAAAAACAGGAGGUUAAGGAGAAUGGAACAAAUCUUACCUUUACUGGAGAGAGAACUGCACUGCAUGAACCACUGCAAACUUGGCAGGAUGCGCCAUACAUUUUUAUUGUGCACGUUGGCAUUUCUUCCUCAAAGGAAUCAUCAAAAGAAAAUUCACUACGUAAUCUUUUCACCAGUAAGUUCAUUGUUUUUUUUAAGUUUGUUAUUUUUUUCUUAUGUCAUAUAUGAUAGAGAGGCUAAAAUUGCUUUAAGUGAAAGAAUAAUUUAGUAAGAAUGUUUUUGUGAAGUAGAAAAAUUAGAGGAGAAAAAUUAACAUCUUUCUGCAUUCAGGCACUUCCCAGGCACUUCAUACAUGGUUUCUUCUGAAGUAUUCCAGGUACCAAGUUGCAUUUUUCUUCCUUUGGUCCUCUUGCUUUUAAAAUUUGUAAUUUGUGUCUUGUUCUCAGUAUUCUCUGAACUAGAAUGAGGAAAACUUGGUCAGGGCUGGGUGUAGUGGGGCACACCUGUAAUCUUGGCACUCAGGAGGCUGAGGCAGGAGGAUUGCUGCAAUUCCAGGCUACCCUGGGGUACAUAGUGAGUUCAAGGCCAACCUGAACUACAUAGCAAGAUCCUGUCUCAAAACAAACAAACAAACUUGGUCAUCAAGUCAAAACUUUAAAAAAUUUCAUUAACAUUGGUACUUUUUGAUGUCUCAAGAAUUUUUCUUAUGCGCUCUCCUCCUGUUGGUGGAGCACAGUUUGUGGAGUCAUCACUCGUAUCUAGAGUUUUGUGGAAUCUCCUUCUCUGGAUGUAUUUUCUGUGGUUUCCGUUUUUGUUUCUUCUUUCUACCUUGCAGUUUCCUCCCCUACCUUGUUUUCUCAGGUAGAAUAUUGAAUAGAAACUGAUGGUAGCCAUCUUUAUUGGCAAUAUUUUUACAUUUCCCAUAGGUAUUAACUGUAGAUUUUUCAACAUAUUCUUCAUUUGGUUAAGAAUGUUUUUUUAAUUUUCUUUUUUUUGGUACCGGGGAUUGAACUCGGGUCCUUGUGCUUGCGCAGCAGAAGAAUGUUCUUUUCUAUUCUGAGUUUACCAAAUAUUUUCCUUUUUUCUUUUCUUUUUUUGUGCACAUGCUAGGCAAAUACUGUACUAUGGAGUUACAUUCCCAGGCCUUCUUUAAAAAAAAAUACAAAAAGUGAUGCUCAGUUUUAUCGUCACUUGAUUGUAUUGAUUAAAAUUAUAUAGUCUUUUUUGUUUAAUACGUUAAUGUGAUAACAUUACGUUAAUUGGUUUCUAAUUUUAAAUUAUGCUGAGCAUGGUGGUGCACAUCUGUAGUUCCAGCACUUUGGAGGCUGAGGCAGGAGGAUUGACGUGAGUUUGAAGUCAGCCUGGGCUACAUGGCACAACCCUGAGUCAAAACAAACAAACAAAAAUUGUUCUUGAAUUUUUGGGACGCCUGAUACUUGGUCUUGAUGAUUAUCCAUCCCCAUCCUUAGCCCUCUAAACAGCUAUAUACCCACUGCUGAGUUCUCUUAGUAUCUUAUUAGGUUGUUGUCUUAUGUUCAAAGUAAGAUUGGCCUAUAAUUCUUUACUUAUUCUGUCUUCCUCUGGUUUUGGUUAUGCUAAUCUCAUACAGUGUUGGAGAAUGUCCCCUUUUUAAAUAUUCUGUGGAACAGUUUUUGUAAGGGUAAGGUUAUCCAAUGCUUGAGUGAAUGGUAGAACUCACCUGUAGUACUGUUUUGACCUGUUGUUCUUUUUGUCCACCCUCCUUCCCUGACAGAUAAGUGUUUUGAUUUAGUUUUUGUUUUCUUUGAAUCUUUUUUUGAGAAAUCAUUCAUUUCACUUAAGAUUUUUUCUUCUGCUGGUGCUUCUGCUUCUUCUGCUUCUGCUCUUUCUCCUCUGCCUCCCCUCCUUUUUCUUCUGCUGCUGCUUCUGCUGUUUGCUUUUUUUGAGACAGGGUCACACUGGAAGUUCAGGCUGGCCUUGAGAUCACUAUGUGGCGUAGUCAGCUUUCAGAGUGAUGAGAUUUAUAGGUAUGUGCCAGGACACCCAGCAAGAUUUCUAAUUAUUGACAAAUUCAUGGUAUUUCUUUACCAAAAACCUAUGGUAUCUGUAGAUUUUACAACCCUUAAUAUUGCUUUUGUCUUUUUUACUUGUUAAAUCUUCUUGGGAUUUAUUUUUAUACCAGCGAAUUAGCUUUUAUCCUUGUUAAUUUUCUAAGCAUUUCUUUCUUUUAUUUGACUUUUAAACUUCUGAUUCUUACAUGUUAAAUGUUUAACUCCCAAUUCAGAAGUGGGUCUUGUGACUCUUAGUGGGAUAGGGCAUAUCAGAGAUCGCAGCAAGCCAUAGGUGGCCUGGUGUCUGGACCCCUGAGUAUCUCUGUGCCUCUUCCUGUCUGGGCCCAUGCUUGUUCAUGGGUAAUACAGUCUCUGGGAGCAGUUGCCAGCAUUUAUUAUUAGCUGUCUUUUUUUUUUUUUUUUUACGUGGAUGGAAGAGUAGCCCUGCCCCAAUCUGUUUCCACCUCUUCAUGCAUCAAACAUGGCUUUAGUUCCUCCUCUUUUUCUUUGAAUCCUACUAAUUUCAGUGCUUUGCACUUAGAACUACCACAGCCUGCUUUUGGGCCCAGAGUCUAGCAUGAACAUAGAUUUAGUUCUAUGUGCUUUUUCUUUUUUAUAUUUUAUCCAUUUAUGGUUUGGAGCUAAGAAGUUACAUUAAUUAUACUAGCUGAAAGUCCUUGAAUAAUCUUUCUAAAACCAUUUUAUAUUCUCUUAAUUAAAACCUUUGGUGAGUCAUUAUUGCCUAUAAAAUGUCCACAUUUUGCAGCAAGAUUUUUUAAACUCUUUACAACUUUUUUUCAGUUUACUUCUUGUUGGUUUAUGUCAAAAUACUAUAGUAUGGCACUAUGUACAGUCUCAGACUAAACGUUUUUUAAAUAUAUCACACAGUUUGAAAACUGGCAGUGCUGAGGAUUGAACCUAGGCCUUGGACAUACUAGGGUGGUACUCUACCACCACUGAGCUACAUACUCCGGCAAAACUUUUUUUGAUUGUGUUAUUUUCUCUUAUCUGGAAGGCUUUAUUUAUUAAUUUAUUUGAUACUGGGGAUCGAACUCAGGUCCUUGUACUUGAAAGACAGAUGGCGGAACCAUUGAGCUAAAUCCCCAGCCCUGAAAGGCUUUUUAAUCUGUCUUGGAAAGUAUAUACUCAGCCUUUUGGAGCUAGCUCAGAAAAAUGGUUCUCUGGUAUUUCCCAACUCCUUUCCCUGCUAAGUGGUAAUCCACUAGAUGGCAGAAAACAUCUUAUUCAUCUUGUGCCAUGCUUUCUUUUUCCUUCCUUCCCUCCUUUUCUACUUUCUUUUGCUUUUUCUUAAAUGGCAGAUAGUUUUUUCUUUAUUGCAACUACCCAGCUCCACCAUGGUGGUGCAGAGGCAGCUAUCGACAAUAUGAAUGAAUGAAUGUGUCUGUGUUACAAUGAAACUUUGUUUAUAAAAAUAAAGGUGGCUAGAAUUGGUCUGUGUGGUAUAUUUUGCUGGACUCUGGCAUAGAAAUUAAGCAAAAUGUGUGACAUAGAUGAUAUUCACUACUGUUUUAGUUCUUGUUGCUGAGUCAAAAAUACCUGACACUCAGAGUUAAAGGGGGAAAGGUUUAUUUGGCUCACAGUUUAUAGAAGUUUCAGUCCAUUAUUGGCUGGCUCCAAGGCAGGGUGCCAUGGCAGAGGGGCAUUGCAGAGGAGAGACAGUCCAGCAGGGCAGGCAGAAGGCAAUAAGCACCAAGCAGGGCCAGAAGCAGGCAACAGUGGCAGCCCUCUUUCUGUCCCUUAUGUCCUAUUGAGACUACCAGCUUUUAGGGCGAGUAGCACUCACACUUGGGGUGGGGCACCCUUAAUCCUAGCAUUGCACCAUGAAUCAAUCCCAGCAUUACACACUCUAGAUCCAGCCACCUCUGAAAAAGCCCCACCCAUGACUGCAUGAGGCUUUGGGGGGACAUGUAGACAUAAGCUAUAACUACUUAGUUGUUCUUUUGUUAAGUUAGCAAAAUAUUUAGCUUUAAUAACCGGUUCUCUGAAAUUUUUUUGAUUGCUAUUAUGGGUUGUUCCUUUUUUCAUUAAGUAUUAGACUCAGUUUACUUUCAAUAAUGUUACGUCCUUUUGGCCUGAUAAAUGCUGGUGGAAAAUUUUGAUCAAAUGGCAGUUAUCAUAUAUCUGUCUCUAGAGAUUAUCACUUUUCAGGUAAAUCAGAUUUUCAUUAAUCAUAUCAAGAAACUACCUAGUUCCGGCGCCUGCUGCGCAAACGCAAGGUCCCCGGUACCAAAAAAAUAAAUAAAUAAAAGUUCUUUAAGAAACUAGGGAACAGGGGAAGGGGACGGUACCAGAACCUCUGCAGUAAGUCCUAGUCUCCUGCGAGCCACGGCAGCACAUGGCGAAUGACAGGAAAGGUAGACAAAUGAGACUAAGAAGCUGAGCUUUGGGUCUGAUCAGUGCUGCU
rnacentral:lncRNA from 1 species